GGGGUGCUGCGUAACCCGGCGGCUGGGAGUUGAUAGGCUGGAAAAAGUUCUACUUUCCUGCUGCACAAAGUAGCACGAAACUUCUUGCCAGCGAAGGAGAAGCCUCACUGCGUAGGAGCAGACUAGAGGUUUAAUCCAAGAAAGGGAUCCAAGACAAGGAAAUAAACGGAGUACCGUUGUUUUACAGCCCAGAAAGAAGAUAGGGAUCAAGAGUCCAACCUUGUCGGUGAAAAACGUAAGCCAAGGGAGAGGACAGGCGAGGAGGAGAGGCCGCCGCAGCGAUACUCCGGGUGGGAUGUUAAGAGCAUAAAAUAAACAAACGCUUUCAGUCUCGCCUCUGUUGGUGCACUUUGAGGUGUAGCAGGUAGGAGCAGGACGUGGCUGGUGAUUGCGUGCCGCUGGCAGCAGGUCCACAUGACUCAGAUGUGUGCACAAGGGCAGUCCCUUCCCAGUGCCACCCGAAGACACCCGUGUGGGUGUAGGCACAGCAGGAAAACUGCCCUGUCACUGUGAAAUCCCGGCGUAGGCUUGGGUGC